CUCACUACAUGCAAAUACGAGCAUUUCUGGAUCUCACCGGUGGGAAAGGGCCAGCUACAUUUCCUGGUUGUAAGCAAACCACAAUAACCAGAAUUCAUAGUGAUUUCAGGAAGUAGUACUACCCCAUGGAAGUGAGAAAUAUCAACAUGUCUGUGUUUGUAGCCAGCAUUGUCAUCCAGAGGAUUUCGAAACUGAACUGAUAGGGUUGCCAUGUCGUCGACUGUUAAAAAGGGAUUCUAUUCAAUCUAUUUUUACCCUUCACUUCAAAGAGGAAGGCAUCCAAUCAGCCAACAUCAGAGCAACAGAAAAUAAGUCAAGCUGAGAGUCAGAUCCCAUCAACAUCAAGCUCAGCACCAGGAAUUAGUAGACGCACAUAAAGCUGUCCCUUGCCCUCAAAGGCAAAUCUGACCGUAAUUAUAUCCUCCUGCUUACAAGCAGGAAGUACCAGUGACUCGCUUGAUACGGAAGUGAUCAGAUGACGCGGAUGCUACACUACAGGACUGUUUUACUAGCACAGACUGGAAUAUGUUCUGGGAUGCAUCCAAUGGCAUUGAGGAGUAUAGCACCUCAGUCACCUGCUUCAUCAAUAAGUUCAUCGACAACUUCGUCCCCACAGUGACCGUACGUACAUAUACCAACCAGAAGCCAUGGAUUACAGGCAACAACCGCAACGAGCUAAAGGCUAGAGCUGCUGCAUUCAAGGAGCUGGACACUAAUCCAGAUGCUUAUAAGAAAUCCCGCUAUACCCUUAGACAAACCAUCAAACAGGCAAAGCGUCAAUACAGGACUAAGAUUGAAUCCUACUCCACCGGCUCUGAUGCUCGUCGGAUGUGGCAGGGCUUGCAAACGAAGGUAACCUGGCCAAACGAGUUGCAAUUCAUCAUAUUUGUGACUUGAGUCUGACUAGAGUCCAAACGUCUGGUAACUACAGUCCAAAACUGAACUAAGUAGAUCCAAAUACUUUUUACAUUUUUAUUGUGGACAGCUGGAGAUGACAAGUUCAGGGCCCGGUUUCCCAAAAGCCUCUAAGUUCAUUUUAGAAACAUAUGGUUCUAAGAUUAACUUAACCUCAAGAUGCUUUUGGGAAACCGGGCCCAGGCACAUAAUAAUCUGUCUUUCUGCCUAGGAACUUCAAAAUGUAUGUCUCUUCUGCAGAACAAAUGACAGAACCUGUUUUCUAAAGAGGACCAUUUGUGAAAAAAUGUACAGAAAAUAGUCCAACACAAAGGAUGCAUUGUUGAAAAGGUUUUCAGAAUUUUUAUGCUGCCAAGAUUAUUUUCAUUGCUCAAGUGCUCAGCUCGUUUGAAGUACAUAACUGUUCAUCAAAGGAAAAUGAAAGAGUGUGGUAGAAUGGGGGGAUAAAUAGAUAGAGCAAGUUACUUUCUUUGACAAGCAUCUACCCCCAAUCAGUGGCUGACUGCUGUCAGUCCCAGCUAGGCUCCUGUGGAGAAUCUGUCUUGUCAAUAGCUGUGUGUGGUUCAAUAGCUGUCUGUGGUCCUCUUCGUCUUACACAAAAUGUCCUAUAUGGACGUGAGAGGCGACUGACUGACAUCCCUGCAGUUUGCAGUGACUAGUGUGUUUGUGUUAUGCCUACGUAGGGGUAGGUGUGUGAGAGUGUGUUUGUGUGUUUUUAGGAGAGAGAUUAUUUAUGUGUUGGCUUAAAUGUGUAUUUUGAGUGUGAUGUGUAUGUGAAUUUACAAACAAACAAGUGUCUAGAUCAGGGGUGUCAAACUCAUUCCAUGGAGGGCCGAGUGUCUGCAGGUUUUUUCUUUCAAUUAAGACCUAGACGACCUGGUGAGGGGUUCCUUACUAAUUACUGACCUUAAUUCAUCAAACAAGUACAAGGGUGGAGCACAGACAUUUGGAACACCGUGGAAUGAGUUUGACACGUGUUCUAGAUUUAGAUAAAUCACCCUUCCACUGCAGUAUACAGUUUGCAUGUGAAAUGAAAUGAUGCUAUGUUGAAUCACAUUUUCAUUCACUCUGGCUGACAUGUCAUUUGUCCUCACCAAGCCAGAUUAGACAGCACUCUCGCUUUGCAGCUUGUGCUGCAGUUCAUUGACCUUGGUCUCUAAAAAUAAAGAUGUAUCAAGAAUCGAUGAAUUCCAUUUCUUACCUGCGAGCCAUAACUGUAUUUGGCAUCAUCCAAUAAGUCUUCCUCUCCCUCUACAGUUUAUACGACAAAGAGUCCUCUGUUUAUUAUUGUCUUAC
ensembl:lncRNA